AUUUUUUUGAGUUAAUUAAAAAUGAGUCCUGCUCACUGUGAAAUAAAUAGCCGCGGUAUCUUGACUGUGCAAAGGUAGCAUAAUAAUUAGUCUUAUAAUUUAAGACUGGAAUGAAAGGAUGAACUAGAAAACCUCUUUUUUAAUUAUUGAUUCCAAACUUUACUUUUUAGUGAGAAGGCUAAAAUAGUUCUUUUAGACAAGAAGACCCUAUAAAACUUUACAUAAAAUAAUUUAAUAUAUUAAUAAUAUGUUUUGCUGGGGCGGUAAGAGAAAAAACAUCUCUAAAUUUAUGAAAAUAUCAUUAUUUUAAUACCCAAAAUUUUUGAAAUUUAGAUAAGUUACUUUAGGGAUAACAGCGUUAUAUACUUUGAGAGCUCAAAUUGACAAGUAUGUUUGCGACCUCGAUGUUGGAUUAAAUUUUCUUUAUUGCGCAAGAGCAAUAAUAGGAGGUCUGUUCGACCUGUAAUGAUUUCCA
rnacentral:rRNA from 1 species